AUGGGAUUUAGGUUCCUGUUGUGAUUCUACUGCUAACUAUGUGAGUCACCUCAGUGAAGUUGCUUCAGUUCUCUCAUUUCUGAACUGAAGAGCCUAGGAAUAUCCAGCACUCGAGGCUCUCUAAAAUGAGAAGAGGAUGGAGCAGGAAAGAGCAAAGGAAAACGGUGUUUUGAGGGGAGAGAGAGAGAGAGAGAGAGAGAGGCAGAGGGAGAGGCUCUGCAGGGACCCGGAAGGCAGGACUC